AACUUGACGCUACCGGCAGGCUUAACACAUGCAAGUCGAGGGGCAGCACUUCUUCGGAUGGUGGCGACCGGCGCACGGGUGCGUAACGCGUAUAGAACUUACCUUUUACAGAGGGAUAGCCUUUAGAAAUGAAGAUUAAUACCUCAUAGCAUUGAGAUUUGGCAUCAAAUUUUAAUUAAAGAUUUAUCGGUAAAAGAUGGCUAUGCGUCAUAUUAGCUAGAUGGUGAGGUAACGGCUCACCAUGGCAACGAUAGGUAGGGGUCCUGAGAGGGAGAUCCCCCACACUGGUACUGAGACACGGACCAGACUCCUACGGGAGGCAGCAGUGAGGAAUAUUGGGCAAUGGAGGCAACUCUGACCCAGCCAUGCCGCGUGCAGGAAUAAGGUCCUAUGGAUUGUAAACUGCUUUUAUA
rnacentral:rRNA from 1 species